UACGUAGGGUGCAAGCGUUAAUCGGAAUUACUGGGCGUAAAGCGUGCGCAGGCGGUUUUGUAAGUCUGUCGUGAAAUCCCCCGGGCUCAACCUGGGAAUUGCGAUGGAGACUGCAAGGCUAGAAUCUGGCAGAGGGGGGGUAGAAUUCCACGUGUAGCAGUGAAAUGCGUAGAGAUGUGGAGGAACACCGAUGGCGAAGGCAGCCCCCUGGGUCAAGAUUGACGCUCAUGCACGAAAGGCGUGGGGAGCAAACAGG
rnacentral:rRNA from 1 species